CCGAGCCUACCCUGUAGCUACCCUGUAGCUACCCUGUAGACCCGGGUCCUCAGCACACGGCGCCGCUUAAGGUCCCGCCGAAGUACCCUGAACUCUGUUUAACGUGGAAUUCUGAAUGCUUCAACUAAAUAAGUUAGAACUUUCAACAACGGAUCUCUUGGUUCUGGCAUCGAUGAAGAACGCAGCGAAAUGCGAUAAGUAAUGUGAAUUGCAGAAUUCAGUGAAUCAUCGAAUCUUUGAACGCACAUUGCGCCCAUUAGUAUUCUAGUGGGCAUGCCUAUUCGAGCGUCAUUUCAGCCCUUAAGCCUCUGUUGCUUAGCGUUGGGAGUCUACGGGUUACCCUGUAAUUCCUGAAAACCAUUGGCGGAGUCAGGGAGCACUCUAAGNNCAUUACACAAUCUUUUUGUCCCGCCUUGGAUAUUGCCCCGCCUCCACGCCGUAAAAUCCCCCAUAUCAAUGUUGACCUCCGGAUUAAGUAGGGAAUACCCGCUGAGCUUUACGCAUAUCAAUAAGGCGGAGGAA
rnacentral:rRNA from 1 species